UACGUAGGGUGCGAGCGUUGUCCGGAAUUAUUGGGCGUAAAGAGCUUGUAGGCGGUUUGUCGCGUCUGCUGUGAAAAUCCGGGGCUCAACCCCGGACUUGCAGUGGGUACGGGCAGACUAGAGUGUGGUAGGGGAGACUGGAAUUCCUGGUGUAACGGUGGAAUGCGCAGAUAUCAGGAGGAACACCGAUGGCGAAGGCAGGUCUCUGGGCCACUACUGACGCUAAGAAGCGAAAGCGUGGGGAGCGAACAGG
rnacentral:rRNA from 1 species